ensembl:lncRNA
UUUUUUCUGGAGAUCUCUCCUUUGUGGAGUUUUUCCUGUAAACCUAGAUCUUUGGAUACAGGAUGCUGAAAUCCGUUGUGCAGAGGGCACCUGAGAAGGAAAUUCGGAUCCCUUUUUUCUUUGUUUUGAAUGGCUAACUGGCUGCCAGAGAUGGGGAUCAGAGCAGAACUGUGUCAGAAUUGCUACUCGAGGCACCGUUCCACCUAGUGUGUAUGAGCACAGCCAGAGAGGCACAUUUGUUUUCCAGAGAGCAAUUCAGCUGGGCCUUGAUUCUUCAUUUCUGUGUGUUGGAUUCAAUCACCGAAGCAGCGCAAAGCAGGAUUACAAUUGUACCAAAUCAAAGCGGACAGACUUCAUGUUAAAAUUUGCUGCUGCAAAUGGCUGCAUGCAGCCCACAGGAAGGCAGGUCCACUUGUUGGUUUUCCUGAGGGCCCUACAGAGAGAAACAAUUUUUGAUCAUUUCUUGCAUACAUCAAACUGUACCCUUGGAAGAUAUUCAGGACCAUAGGAGUCAUUGUGGCUUUUGUGUUGCCUUUGAUAGGGUUGUAUUUGACCCCUAGGAGCUUCUUUGUGAAGCACAGGAGGGCAGAGCUGUCAGGACUGGGGUGUCCAGCAGAUCCUGGAUGUGGACUGAUGAAUAAUGUGAGAACUGCGUUCUUUUCCACACUGUGGUCACUUUCUGGAACACAUG